GAUGAACGCUGGCGGCGUGCCUAAUACAUGCAAGUCGAGCGAACGGACGAGAAGCUUGCUUCUCUGAUGUUAGCGGCGGACGGGUGAGUAACACGUGGAUAACCUACCUAUAAGACUGGGAUAACUUCGGGAAACCGGAGCUAAUACCGGAUAAUAUUUUGAACCGCAUGGUUCAAAAGUGAAAGACGGUCUUGCUGUCACUUAUAGAUUGAUCCGCGCUGCAUUAGCUAGUUGGUAAGGUAACGGCUUACCAAGGCAACGAUGCAUAGCCGACCUGAGAGGGUGAUCGCCCACACUGGAACUGAGACACGGACCAGACUCCUACGGGAGGCCGCAGUAGGGAAUCUUCCGCAAUGGGCGAAAGCCUGACGGAGCAACGCCGCGUGAGUGAUGAAGGUCUUCGGAUCGUAAAACUCUGUUAUUAGGGAAGAACAUAUGUGUAAGUAAAUGUGCACAUCUUGACGGUACCUAAUCAGAAAGCCACGGCUAACUACGUG
rnacentral:rRNA from 1 species